rnacentral:lncRNA from 1 species
AAGAUGUAUAUUGAUUGUUAUUACAGGGAUAAAAUAUUGAUGCUGGACUUUUAUACCUUAGAAGACAGUAGAAUUCUUUCUCUACGUGACUCUUCUAAUGGAUUGUUGUUUCCGCUGCAUUUGUUGAUCUAAAACUUGUUGUCUAUUGUAUUCUAUUAGAUUUUUCCCUGUUGAAGACUAACGAUAAUUUGUUGUAUAUUAUCUUAGUCAUAAUAUUCUUUACUGGGCUAGUUGAGCUCACCCUUUUCCUUUUUGUUCCAUUUUUCUUCUCAGGAGGUGAGAACAUAGCAAGAUCGAGUCGGGGUAUGGAGUGAUGGUUCUAGGAAGAUGUUUUAGCUGUCCUCACUAUUUCUGUAAAAUAGUGUAUGAAUAAUUA